UACGUAGGGGGCAAGCGUUAUCCGGAUUUACUGGGUGUAAAGGGAGCGCAGACGGCAGUGCAAGUCUGAUGUGAAAGCCCGGGGCUCAACCCCGGAACUGCAUUGGAAACUGCACAGCUUGAGUGUCGGAGGGGUAAGCGGAAUUCCUAGUGUAGCGGUGAAAUGCGUAGAUAUUAGGAGGAACACCGGUGGCGAAGGCGGCUUACUGGACGAUCACUGACGUUGAGGCUCGAAAGCGUGGGGAGCAAACAGGAUUAGAUACCCGGGUAGUCCCUGA
rnacentral:rRNA from 1 species